rnacentral:rRNA from 1 species
CAGCAGCCGCGGGAAUACGUAGGGUGCAAGCGUUAAUCGGAAUUACUGGGCGUAAAGCGUGCGCAGGCGGUUUGUUAAGACAGAUGUGAAAUCCCCGGGCUCAACCUGGGAACUGCAUUUGUGACUGGCAAGCUAGAGUCUGGCAGAGGGGGGUGGAAUUCCGCGUGUAGCAGUGAAAUGCGUAGAUAUGCGGAGGAACACCGAUGGCGAAGGCAAUCCCCUGGGCCUGUACUGACGCUCAUGCACGAAAGCGUGGGGAGCAAACAGGAUUAGAUACCCCAGUAGUCCCUGUCUCUUAUAC